rnacentral:rRNA from 1 species
GAAAGAUUCAUCGGAAGAGGAUGGGCAUGGCGCGCAUUAGCUUGACGGCGGGGUAACGGCCCACGGUGGCGACGAUGCGUAGGGGUUCUGAGAGGAAGGUCCCCCACACUGCAUCUGAGACACGGACCAGACUCCUACGGGAGGCAGCAGUGAGGAAUAUUGGUCAAUGGGAGAGAUCCUGAACCAGCCAAGCCGCGUGAGGGAAGACGGCCCUAUGGGUUGUAAACCUCUUUUGUCGGAGAACAAAACCCGGGACGUGUCCCGGACUGCGUGUAUCCGAAGAAAAAGCAUCGGCUAACUCCGUGCCAGCAGCCGCGGUAAUACGGAGGAUGCGAGCGUUAUCCGGAUUUAUUGGGUUUAAAGGGUGCGUAGGCGGUCCGUUAAGUCAGCGGUAAAAUUGCGGGGCUCAACCCCGUCGAGCCGUUGAAACUGGCAGACUUGAGUUGGCGAGAAGUACGCGGAAUGCGCGGUGUAGCGGUGAAAUGCAUAGAUAUCGCGCAGAACUCCGAUUGCGAAGGCAGCGUACCGGCGCCAGACUGACGCUGAGGCACGAAAGCGUGGGGAUCGAACAGGAUUAGAUACCCUGGUAGUCCACGCAGUAAACGAUGAAUGCUGGUUGUCCGGGUCGAAUGAGACCUGG